UUUGCUCCGAUGCUCUAGAUUACGCGAAGACCUUACCUACACUUGACAUCCUCGGAACUUUCUAGAGAUAGAUUGGUGCCUUCGGGAACCGAGUGACAGGUGCUGCAUGGCUGUCGUCAGCUCGUGUCGUGAGAUGUUGGGUUAAGUCCCGUAACGAGCGCAACCCUUAUCCUUAUUUGCCAGCGGUUCGGCCGGGAACUCUAAGGAGACUGCCGAUGACAAAUCGGAGGAAGGUGGGGACGACGUCAAGUCAUCAUGGCCCUUACGUGUAGGGCUACACACGUGCUACAAUGGUCGGUACAAACGGUCGCGAACCCGCGAGGGGAAGCCAAUCCGAGAAAGCCGAUCGUAGUCCGGAUUGGGGUCUGCAACUCGACCCCAUGAAGUCGGAAUCGCUAGUAAUCGUGAAUCAGAAUGUCACGGUGAAUACGUUCCCGGGUCUUGUA
rnacentral:rRNA from 1 species